rnacentral:tRNA from 1 species
GGGGAGGUAGCUCAAGUGGUAGUGCGCCGGGUGUAGUAUGACCCGGAGGUCGUGGGUUCGAGUCCCACCCUCUCCACCC